GUGGGGAUUAGUGGCGAACGGGUGAGUAACACGUGGGCAAUCUGCCCUUCACUCUGGGACAAGCCCUGGAAACGGGGUCUAAUACCGGAUAACACUUCCCUCCUCCUGGAGGGUGGUUAAAAGCUCCGGCGGUGAAGGAUGAGCCCGCGGCCUAUCAGCUUGUUGGUGAGGUAAUGGCUCACCAAGGCGACGACGGGUAGCCGGCCUGAGAGGGCGACCGGCCACACUGGGACUGAGACACGGCCCAGACUCCUACGGGAGGCAGCAGUGGGGAAUAUUGCACAAUGGGCGAAAGCCUGAUGCAGCGACGCCGCGUGAGGGAUGACGGCCUUCGGGUUGUAAACCUCUUUCAGCAGGGAAGAAGCGAAAGUGACGGUACCUGCAGAAGAAGCGYYKKYUWACUACGUGCCAGCAGCCGCGGUAAUACGUAGGGCGCAAGCGUUGUCCGGAAUUAUUGGGCGUAAAGAGCUCGUAGGCGGCUUGUCACGUCGGUUGUG
rnacentral:rRNA from 1 species